rnacentral:rRNA from 1 species
AUGGACCUGGACAGCUUCCCACUUGACCACGAGUUUCCGGACGACUACGGGCAAGAGGAAGAGGACGAGUGCGACAUCGAAGUGGAGCCUUUGUUUGAGGACGAGCUCGCCAACCAAGCCGCCGGACCGAAGCCAAAGCGCAAGAGCAAGCGCACGAAGGCAUACACGGCAGCCGAGGAAAAGCUUAUUUGCGAGUGUUGGAGAGACAUUGGACAAGACCCCAAGAUAGGCGUCGAACAAAAGCAUUCAACUUUUUGGAUUCGUGUCCACCGGGAGUUUCAUGAGCGCAAGAAGUUUCCUCCCUACCAAAUUGUGAGCACGCGCGGGUGGGUGUCCAUUUCAAAGCGAUGGAGAGUGAUCCAGUAA